GGAAGUAAAAGUCGUAACAAGGUUUCCGUAGGUGAACCUGCGGAAGGAUCAUUACUGAUUUAGCGAACCGAGCGUUAGCGAGGUUUUGCGAUCACUUUAUAUUUAAAACCCACUCUUUAAUGUAUAAAAUUUGUAUUAAUGAUAAAUUAAAAGAUCACUUUCAACAACGGAUCUCUUGGCUCUCGCAUCGAUGAAGAACGUAGCGAAGUGCGAUAAGUAAUGUGAAUUGCAGUAUUCCGUGAAUCAUCGAAUCUUUGAACGCAUAUUGCACUUUCUGGUAUUCCGGAAAGUAUGCCUGUUUGAGGGUCAGUUAAAUAAAAAUCGGUGUUGUUGCCGCUUUUCGUGGUGACGCGUCGGAAUUGAGUUGUCUUACCUUCGGUUAAGUGACUUAAAAUUUUGUAUGAUUUUCGAACGUAUUUAAAUUUAUUUGAACGUUUGAUAUCGAAUGCUUAUUAGGUUCGGUCAUCCUCAUGACUCGCGCCUAUAAUUUUUCAUUAAAUGACCUCAAAUCAGGUAAGAAUACCCGCUGAACUUAAGCAUAUCAAUAAGCGGAGGA
rnacentral:rRNA from 1 species